rnacentral:rRNA from 1 species
UACGGAGGGUGCGAGCGUUACCCGGAAUCACUGGGCGUAAAGGGCGUGUAGGCGGAUCAGUAAGUCCGGCUUUGAAGACCGAGGCUCAACCUCGGGAAUGGGUUGGAUACUGUUGAUCUUGACCUCUGGAGAGGCAACUGGAAUUCCUGGUGGAGCGGUGGAAUGCGUAGAUCCCAGGAGGAACACCGAUGGCGAAGGCAGGUUGCUGGACAGAAGGUGACACUGAUCCACGAAAGCUAGGGGAGCGAAUGGG